rnacentral:lncRNA from 1 species
AACCUCCGACCGGGUGACCAAAAUGUGUUAAAAAUUCCUUAGAAUGUGUACUGUUUUGUAGGUGUGAAGGAACGACUAUUCGAUAACCAUGAGAUAUUUACCUCUGAUUCCAUUAAAGGUAGGAAAUUAUGAGAAAACCUAUCAUAAUGCAGCAAUAAGUUGAGAUAGGAGGCGGCAGUUAGAGUUACUCUUAACUAAAUAUCCAUGUCCCUACUACCCAAAAAUAUUCACGCCCUCUGUUCCAAUGUACUGACAGCAGUAAAAUAGGGUUGGAAUCUGGAAACCACAAAGUUCAAUAGAUGAUUGUGUGGCUGUCAAUGCAUUGGAAUAACAGAAUUGGCAUUUUUCGGUACAAAAAUUGUGCGCUGAAUACUUUUUAAUUUCAGAAUUCUCUUGCAGCAUUAGUUUAACAUUAUGGUAAUCUUACACGGAUAUAUAAUGCCUCUGUUAAAAUUCACUCUUGUAUUUUCUUUAUUUCCAAGCGGCACCAGUGUACACCUAUUUGAAGGCAUGCAGCAGUUGCAGAGGUAACUAAAUUGCAACCCUAAUACACUCCUACCCCCAAUCAAAGCCAGUGGCUGUCGGAGAGGCACGACUAAACGCAAGCGUGACUGCUUGGUGUGGUCAGAUUAUUCUCACGACUGAGUUCUAUGGGUGACCAGGUGCACAUUCCCAUAUCCCUCUUAACCUUUCUUCUAAUUCAACACUCUUCUUGAUAACAUAUCUUCAUUUUUCCGUAUGUUCCCCCGCUUAAUUGUUGAAAUCAGGCAAACUCUCAAAUGAGUUGUCGUAACUUGCAUCUAAAUGGAAAAUCUGAAAUUGUUCUAUACCAUUAGUGAUAAUGGCUAAAGUCAUGGAUGAGAAAUUCUGGUACACUUCUAUCACUUGUACAGAAAAUUAAUUUAAAAAGGAAAACUGAAAGUUUAUAACACAUGUACUGCGCAUGUAACUUAGAUAUCAAGAAAUGGCAAUUAGAUGUUUUGAUCAGUUUGCAAUUAUGUAUCCUGCUUACGUUCUUUGUUUCUGCUAGCCACUGCAAUUAUAUGACAGUGACUUGUGUUCGUCUCCAAAAUAGGAAACAAGAAGAAACAUUCAGGUAUGACUUCGUUUUGUUUAGGUUGUAUGUAAUCUGUGUUUUGGUGUGAUUGAAAACUGAAUAUCUCAAUCCCCCCACCCCACUCCACCCCACCCCUCAAAAAAAAAAAAAAUCUUUCUUAUUUAUGUCUGACAACUUAUUGAUGAACUUAAAUAUGAUGUUGCAUGGUGUCGUCGUGGCUGUUACAGUUGCUAAAGCAGUUUGGAAAGCAUUAUUUGUGAGUCCUGCAACGAGUGCUCCUGGUUAGAUAGGACACAGGAGGCGCUGAAGUGGUCUUGUCUUGACUGUGUUUUUGUAGUUUGGUGUUACAUACAACUAGGGGCUGUAAAUUCGGACUGCCCGGCCCGGACCAUGUGUCAGGCUCCUGGAAUGCCCAGGCUCGGGCACAGGCUUCUGGUGAUACUUGGG